rnacentral:rRNA from 1 species
AGAGUUUGAUCCUGGCUCAGGAUAAACGCUGGCGGCGCACAUAAGACAUGCAAGUCGAACGGAAGUCGUUAUACAAGGAGAGAAGAUUUAUCGGAUUGAAUUAUAUAACAAUGGCUUUAGUGGCGGACUGGUGAGUAACGCGUAAGAAAUCUACCUAUCAGAGGGGAACAACAAUGAGAAAUCAUUGCUAAUACCGCAUAUGCCAUAAACAUCGCAUGAUGAAAGUGGGAAAGGAGCAAUCCGCUGAUAGAUGAUCUUGCGUCUGAUUAGUUAGUUGGUGGGGUAAUGGCCUACCAAGACGACGAUCAGUAGCCGGACUGAGAGGUUGAACGGCCACAUUGGGACUGAGAUACGGCCCAGACUCCUACGGGAGGCAGCAGUCGGGAAUAUUGCGCAAUGGAGGAAACUCUGACGCAGUGACGCCGCGUGCAGGAAGAAGGUUUUCGGAUUGUAAACUGCUUUAGACAGGGGAAGAGAAAGGACAGUACCUGUAGAAUAAGCUCCGGCUAACUACGUGCCAGCAGCCGCGGU